AUGGAGCGACGAUUCGGAGAUGUAGCAGAGCGCUUGGCGGCAGCUGCUCUCGGCACGCGACGGCGUGCCCCACAUCCAGAGGCUCGCCUCGGCGCCCACAUCGUCCUCCUACUACUUCUCGGUGCCGCUGACCCGGCGGGUGCCAAGGGAGGUGACGUACAUCCAGAGCGUCUGCGCGCAGAUGAACCGGCUCUGGUGCUCCAUCCCCGCCAGGCGCAGCGCGAAAUCUGGAAGAGGGAUGCUGUCCAGCUGAUGCUUGGUAUCGACUCGAAGUUCAUCAUCCAUUGUAUUGAGGUUAUCUACCUGGACUCUGUAGUGACUUUAUAUUUUCUAUAA
rnacentral:rRNA from 1 species